rnacentral:rRNA from 1 species
UGAGGAAUAUUGGUCAAUGGGCGUAAGCCUGAACCAGCCAAGUCGCGUGAGGGAUGAAGGUUCUAUGGAUCGUAAACCUCUUUUAUAAGGGAAUAAAGUGCGGGACGUGUCCCGUUUUGUAUGUACCUUAUGAAUAAGGAUCGGCUAACUCCGUGCCAGCAGCCGCGGUAAUACGGAGGAUCCGAGCGUUAUCCGGAUUUAUUGGGUUUAAAGGGUGCGUAGGCGGCCUUUUAAGUCAGCGGUGAAAGUCUGUGGCUCAACCAUAGAAUUGCCGUUGAAACUGGGAGGCUUGAGUAUGUUUGAGGCAGGCGGAAUGCGUGGUGUAGCGGUGAAAUGCUUAGAUAUCACGCAGAACCCCGAUUGCGAAGGCAGCCUGCCAAGCCAUGACUGACGCUGAUGCACGAAAGCGUGGGGAUCAAACAGGAUUAGAUACCCUGGUAGUCCACGCAGUAAACGAUGAUCACUAGCUGUUUGCGAUACAGUGUAAGCGGCACAGCGAAAGCGUUAAGUGAUCCACCUGGGGAGUACGCCGGCAACGGUGAAACUCAAAGGAAUUGACGGGGGCCCGCACAAGCGGAGGAACAUGUGGUUUAAUUCGAUGAUACGCGAGGAACCUUACCCGGGUUUGAACGCAUUCGGACCGAGGUGGAAACACCUCUUCUAGCAAUAGCCGUUUGCGAGGUGCUGCAUGGUUGUCGUCAGCUCGUGCCGUGAGGUGUCGGCUUAAGUGCCAUAACGAGCGCAACCCUUGCCACUAGUUACUAACAGGUAAAGCUGAGGACUCUGGUGGGACUGCCAGCGUAAGCUGCGAGGAAGGCGGGGAUGACGUCAAAUCAGCACGGCCCUUACAUCCGGGGCGACACACGUGUUACAAUGGCGUGGACAAAGGGAAGCCACCUGGCGACAGGGAGCGAAUCCCCAAACCACGUCUCAGUUCGGAUCGGAGUCUGCAACCCGACUCCGUGAAGCUGGAUUCGCUAGUAAUCGCGCAUCAGCCAUGGCGCGGUGAAUACGUUCCC